rnacentral:ncRNA from 1 species
UAUGGAGAGGUGCUGUAAUUAAGAGUAUUUAUUAGUAGUCGGCGGAUGAUGAUAAAUAAAGAAAGGAAUUACGGCCGAAGGAAAAUUUUUGGUGAGAAGUUUUCCUGGCUUUAUAUAAAAUAUAUAUAAGGCUGUCACUUUAAAAAAAGUGGAGCGCUGCAU